CAGGCUCCACACACCUCCCAGCUCCCUCCCCAGCAGCGAGCCCAGAGCAGCCCUGGGCCCUGUGAGUGCCAGGAGGGCUCUGUGUGCCCAGGAAGCACAUCUGUGCUCAGCACAGCACCUGAACAUCCCAGUACAUUGGACAUACCAGUAUAUAUUGGCUGCCUGUGAUCCUCGACGUAGCUCCUGGAUUAAAUGCCCUGAUGAAGUAUCAAAUAUCCUUAUAAGGGUCCCCUUGAAAAGGAAUCAAGCCUUGUAUUAGGAAGGGCAGAAGAUUCUCUUUACAUCUGUGAAUGCAGCCUAAAACUCUGUCUGUCUGACCAGUAUGUCCCUGCACACACCUCUGGGGGUUUUCUUCUUGCUAGAUUUGAGAACCUGUUUUAAUUUUGGGGAAGAACAUUGAUUGCCCCCACACCAGCCCCACAAUGUUACAGUUCUGUGGUGCACAACCUUGUCACUUGGCUCCUCAACUCAAGUUUCUUUCAGCUCAUUUCUAAAGCACCAGCACAGCCCUGGCCCUGGUUGGCAGACCCUGGAAUGUGCCCAAGUUCUGGGACUCACUUCUGCCUUGCUCCCUCAGUCAGUGCUGCCAUUUUCAGUGCUACUGUGCAAUUCUUUCCCACAAAUUAUAAUCAGGGUGUGGCUGACUUGUCUUAGAAUUAAUUCAGAGGCUGUCCAUCAUCACCUGCAGUCCUGUUACAUGCCUGGUUAACAGGUGCAGCUCUCCAGUCACACACCAGGAGGUAACAGAACCCAGCAGAGAAAGAUUUGGUAAACUCAGCUUAGUUUUGAUUUAAGAGGCAGGCUUGGGAUGUUUGCUGACUGUGCUCAGACUCCCUAGUUUGGUUGGAAAAUAAAAGCUGUUUGAACUUUUUUUCUCUGUACAAAACAAGGAACAUCCUGACACAAAUGCAGCAGAUAAUGAGUCUACUCAGCAAUGGAGUUGGCAGCUUUAAGAACUCUGUUUAGAAGACAUGCAGCCAUUAAGCUUAGUUAGGAGAGACUGUGGCUGCAUUUUCUUUUUUUAAGCUGUUUGAGUGACAGGCUGGGCAGUAGAAACUGUUCAAAGGAGACACUUGUUGGAUUCAUUUGGCUUUUCCUUGAGAAACUCCUUUCAUUUGAGUGGAAGAAGGCAGUGAGUGCUCCUCUUGCCUCAGGGAGAUGGGUCCAUCUGCCUGACAUCCCUUUGGGAGAUGAAGGGCCCUGGCAGCCCUCCCAGGGGUUCCCAGGGAGAGGGCAGGUCUGUCACCAUUUGAGCUGCACCCUAACCUGAGGUUUUUGUCAGUGUGUUGUGCUCUUUAGUCCCACAGGGGUGCACACACCAUUUCAGAAGGAGGGGGGCAGCCACCCCCUCCUGCUCUGCACCAGGGGCUAAGCCCUGGCAGAACAAAGCCCUCUGGCAGGACAGACCUAUCUGCAAGCAUUUCUUUAGCCAGUGGGUGUGAAGUGAGUUUAAGCAGAAAAUAAUAAAGGUGAAAGAAUACAAAUAAGAUUCUCCCCCUGCUUUUUAAAAAAAUUAACAGUAUCUGUUGAAGAACACGUGAAAGCUGUGAGCUGCUUGGGCCAGGCUUCUGCCACUGAAGAGUCACUGCUCCAGUCAGCUAAAACAUAAGCACUACCUCAGGCACAGCCCUUGGCUGUUGGUGUCUGGGGAUCCCAGAGGGGCAGUGAAGAUAAAGGGAAUGCACAUUCCAGUGACAAAUUUCCCCGGUAGGUAUUUCUCUGUCUUUCCUACGAAGGAUGUGACUUCCUGUUUGUGACACUGGAACACACAGUAGGUCAGAGGCAGGGACAUCACUCUUACUUUUUCUGAUGCUGUUGCAAUUCUUGUUCCCUGCAGGUUUAAAGCAAUACAGCUCAAGACUCCUUCGUGGGCUGGGAUGUCCACGGGAGGCUUCUCCGUGUUGGCCAAAUCCACGAUCUGCACGUGCCCAGUGUGUGUCCCAGGAAAUGCAAGAAGAGAAUUAUUACUAUUUGGACAAAGGACACAGAGACCUGAAAGACACACAAAAAAGGAGAAUAACUGGAUCAUUUCCAUAAACCAAUGUUUUCAAAUGUCAUCCCAGAUCAUGACUAGAACAGUGCAGAGGUUGUGUUAAACCAUGAAGGCAGAUCCAAAGAUCCACACUGUCUCCCUUCCAGUUCCCCAGAAGGCUGACCAAGAGGGGCACCCCAUGGCUAAGCAGCUGCAGAUGGGACACCCUGCAAACCAGGCCUUGAGCCACCACAUAUCAACCCCCUCGAGCAGGCAGGAGCUGCAAACUCCAACCACAAAAACUGACAAUAAAAAUACAACUUUCUAAAGAAAAGCAGCUUUUUUUUUUUUGUUUGCUCUGAAGAUUAUCAAAGAAAUAAUGCAGCAGUUGCAAAAAAGUAGCAUAUUUUCUUACAAAUCUUUCCAGCCGGGGAGGUUCCCCCUCAGGCUGCUGGGAUGGAGCCUCCUUGCAAAGCUCACCAUGAGAAGGUCAGGGGGUCUCUGAGACCUGUCACUGCAGGUACCAGCCUGUUCCUGCUGCCACAGCAGUGGUGGGACUCCCUGCACCACAGUGACUUAAAGCUGCUGCAACAUCCCCUCACCCUUCAGGACACCUGAUGCCAGCCCAGGGCGGUGGGUUUGGGAGCUCUGGGCAGUGUCACACAGGCCAAGAUGUUUGCAGGGUCCCUCCCUGGAGCUCACCUUUGUUGGGUGGGUACUUCGGCUUCUUUCCUCCACCCACCAGUGCUAAAUAGUUGCAACGAAACAACAUUUCCACAUGGCCAACACCACCUUCUACAAACUCUGGAAGACAAAUAUUUUAUUUAGAAGCGUCAGAACCUGUUAAAAGGCCACCUAGUUUUUACCACUGUUACAAGAAAAGCUCAUAUUAUCCAGCACAUCUCCCAGGCACCUGAGAAGAACAGCAUCUUCCUACCCUGGCUGCCCUUCAAAACCAGAGGAGGUAAAUUCCAUGAAAGUUCCUCACACUGGAGCAGUAAAGUCCUGGAUUUCAUAUAAGCCCUUGUGGUUUCUUCAACAGCACUUCUGAGUGCUGUAUUUCCUUCCUGAAGAGUUUUGGACACUACCCCCUUCUGCACCACAUCCUCCUCUUGACUCCAGAAAGCAUUUGAAGCAGGAUGGCACAUUUUGCUAUGAAAAGGGAUUAUCAUCAUGACAAAAAGGCCUAAAAUAUUUACAAGUGGUAACCUGGGACAGUUUGAGAGCGUGCAAUGUGUCCUGAAUCUGUGUUAGAGCACUGAAUGAUUAUCUGCACAGUUCUGAGGGACAGUGCUUGGAUGGGAACAUCCUGGAACUCCUGCAUGUAGGGGGUUGCAACAGUUAAGACUUGGUUUCAUGUUGGGUUACAGAGAACAAUCAAAUAGACAACUCCAGCCGGGACCAUCUCAGGCAGGUUAAAAUCUACAGGAAUGAUGAACAGGAUCUCUCUGUGUACCUACACAGCCAGUUCAGUGGGAGUGCUCAGAAUCCACAGGGAAAAAGCAAUCUGACUCAUAAGAAACUUUUCACCACAGGAGUCCUGGAAUUAUCUCCAUCCAGAGCUACUGGCAGGGAGAGUUUUGACAAGGUACUCCACAGGACUCCAGGCUGAGUCCUGAUCCUUUGAGCACACUGUCACAGGUGACAGUCCCAAGGCAUGUUGCUUAUGGAAGAAUUCACUGUUCAGAGCAGAAAAUAGUUUUGGCCACGUGAACAGUGACUAAAAUCCUUUACAGCAGUAGAAAGUGAAAGUGUGCCUGGUUUCAUAGGAAUUGCUUAUUUAAGUACAUUUUUCCUCUUAUUAAAUCCCUUUUAUCACCACAGGCUGGAAGUGGCUGGGAAACCUGUUUAGCAACUCACUUCUAUAUUUAGGGUUAGAAUCACAUGGCUGGGUUUCAGUUUCCCCUAUUUUGACUUGGGUUUGUUUGCUUUCUGAUAAAAAAGCCCCACUGUUAAUACAGCUCAUCUACUGAUUUCUGUUCAAACAUGAGGGAGCAGCUUUACUGCAUUAAGAUCCUCCCAGAUUUUUUAGGCAUCCAGAGAAGGCAGGAUGUAGAGUAUCAGAGCUCUCAGUGCUCUUGCAGACAAUACUCUGGGUAUGAGAAAUGUUAUGCUCAGAUCUCCAGGAGAAGGGCUGGAGUUUUACUGCCACACUGGAUCAUCCAGAUCACCACAGGAGAAAGGAACAACUACUGAUGGUGCAUGACUGCUGCAGGGAGUGACUCCUGCUCAGGGAUAACCAACUCCUCUCCUCCUCAGGGCUACAAACAUCAGCAAGAGCCAACUCAAGUCUGUGAUAGGUGAGACAAAUCCCUCGUCAGCCAGUUGUGCAAAUUAACAGCACUGAGACAUCUGACUGAGCAGUGGCACGAGUGAGAGCCCCUGUGGGGCAGGAGCUGCCCUUCCUGGGGCUUUAUCCAAAGCUUUCCAGGGAUGGAGCAGUGAAAGCUGAGCAAGAACCAGUCACAAAAAAAAAAGGAGGAGGCUGAGCUUCCAACCAGAGCAGCACGGUGGAGUAAGUAAGUGCUUUACCUUGUUUCUCUUUUUCCUUGAGAGGAUCUGCAUUAUAAACUCGGAAUCCAUUUUCCAUUCCACAUGCAAAGCAUCCUGUGGUAAAAAGCACAUGUAUAUACACAUAUAUAUAGUAAUUGCCAGAUACACUCGAGAAGGAAGCAAGAGCCAGAGGGUUAGGAGAGCAUUACUGACAACUGCAUUGUUACACUCAAGCACUCACAGGCUCUGUUAGUGAUGCAAGUGAAAGCCCUUCAGAGGAUUUGUUCUCUGGCCUGGUGCAAAGGUCUCGGUAUUGUUUUUAGACAGGUAAGAAAACAAUGGAAGGAAAGGAAACCUAUUCCCAACCCACCUGUAUCCUAUGCCAUGUGCUACAGGGGGAAGGAAAUCAGCAUUUUAAUGUUUAUGGUCUGACAGUCAUUAUGAAGGAAACCCCCUCCUUUCUCAACAGGUCUGAAUUCACCCCACAUUUAUGACUCUGCUGUGGAUGUUUCCAGAGCACAGAGCUCCUCAAACAGCUUUUCAGACUGUGUUAAUGCCAAUAAUGACAUGCCAGUAGCUGAAGUCCAACCCAGAACAAGAGUAGAACACUCUGAUUAAAACGGUCCCAGAUUAAAACACUCUGGAAAAUAAUUGUAGUUACUUUUUUGUACAGAAUUAUUCACGUGCCUCUUCAGUGGAAUCCACUGAACUACCAGUCUCCUGUCCUGCCCUUCCCCUGCUGAGGGAAUGCAGGUACUGGUACCAAGAAAUGCCAGUGUGCAGUCAGAGCAAUGACAAGUCACCAAGGAGCAGCUGCUGUCACUGGCAGCAGCCUGACAGCAGAGUUAUUGCCCCAAGCUGCAGCUGUGCUCGU